GAUGAACGCUGGCGGCGUGCCUAAUACAUGCAAGCCGAGCGAACGGACGAGAAGCUUGCUUCUCUGAUGUUAGCGGCGGACGGGUGAGUAACACGUGGAUAACCUACCUAUAAGACUGGGAUAACUUCGGGAAACCGGAGCUAAUACCGGAUAAUAUUUUGAACCGCAUGGUUCAAAAGUGAAAGACGGUCUUGCUGUCACUUAUAGAUGGAUCCGCGCUGCAUUAGCUAGUUGGUAAGGUAACGGCUUACCAAGGCAACGAUGCAUAGCCGACCUGAGAGGGUGAUCGGCGACACUGGAACUGAGACACGGUCCAGACUACUACGGGAGGCAGCAGUAGGGAAUCUGCCGCAAUGGGCGAAAGCCUGACGGAGCAACGCCGCGUGAGUGAUGAAGGUCUUCGGAUCGUAAAACUCUGUUAUUAGGGAAGAACAUAUGUGUAAGUAACUGUGCACAUCUUGACGGUACCUAAUCAGAAAGCAACGGCUAACUACGUG
rnacentral:rRNA from 1 species